AUGAAGUCAAAAGGAACAUGUGGCCUUGCCUAAGUUUGGUCAACAUUGAUGGGAGCUUUCUGUAAGCCAGAAACUUCAAUGUAAACAGAUGCUAUUUUCCACUACAUAUUCAGCUGUAAUGAGCUAAUUUAAUGUAUUAAAACAACAAAAGAACUUCAAGAAUGAGUCAGUGAUUCAAGUUGCAUGGAAACCAAGGGAAAAAUCAAGCAUGAAGUUUGCAAAACCGUUCCAAAAUUCCGUUUUCGAUAAGGAAUUGUGGAGCCCCUGUUCCUUGAGGCUGCUUAGCCAAUGCUGUGUGCGCACCUUUGCAUGAUAAACAGAGUUCCCAGCCAAGGAAAAGAAGAAACAGUGUGUGAGCAGAUAGUCACAAUUAAGUCUGCAAAUUUAUUUUUUUAGCUAGUCUUUGCCUAAAUGAAGACCGAAGUACUCCAAAAAUCUACAAUUACAUGAUUCUAAAAGAGGCAAGUUUGUGAUGUAUCUUUCUUUGGGUAUUUCUUUGGAUAGCCUAGAGUAACGAAAGACCUAGAUGUGGUGCUAAACCAUAGAUAUGGAUGGACUCAAAUCACCUCUAUACAUUACCUUCUCAAUCCUUACCAAAUCAAUUUCUGGUAUGGACAGCACACCCAGUUUCCCCAGAUGCUCUCCCUGAAACCAAAGGUGGAACUACGACUGAGGAUUUUCUCAGUAUUUUCAUCAAAGCCGAGUAAUAUCUUCUCAUCAUAGUGCAAAGGAAUUUCAGUUUCUGAUAUUCUAUUUGACUUUGACAAUAAAUCAAAAGAUCCUGCUCCUUCCUAGAGAGUCCUGCAAGUGAUUGAUGACACUCCCCCAAAUUUUAACGUCAUGCACUUCAAAAAUAAGUACUACUUUUAUUUCAGGAGCCCUUCACAUCCACAGCUUUUUAUGUGUCUUCCUUUUUCCUGGCUGUCCUUUCUCAUCACAUACUUAGGAAACUUAAAAAAAAUAAAAUAAUUUACUCAUCCCUUUAAAAAAAAAUCUUUUCAGCAUACACCAAGAUAAUCUUGUGAUUCUUUUUUCAAUCUUACAUGAAUUUCAUCUAUAGACCUCAAGUCCCUUUUGGAAACAUCCAUUCAUUUUUCACCAUCUUUAAGUGAAGAAGAAAUAUCGCCUCACAAUAGGUGUGUUAAUGCACACACACACACACACACACACACACACACACACACACAUGAACUACAGUACUUAAACCUUUCUAUAAACCUUACUAUAACCCAGAACCCAAAAGAGCAUGGUUCCAGGUCUAUAAGCUAAGCAUUAGGCAUAAGUCUUACUUUAGUAAAAUGGAAUGAAAUGAAGUUUGGAUUUAAUGGUUCUGAAAUUAAUAUUUGGCUUUCUACUCAUGGACUAUAUGACCUUAAGAAAGUUAUUAUUCCCCAAAUC